rnacentral:rRNA from 1 species
CGAUAUGNAGAACCAUAUAAUAUUUAUAUAUUAGUGGUGUCACAAAAUCGGAGGCCCCGACUGUUUACUUAAAACACAGCUUUUUGCUACGAUUAACAUCUUUGUAUAGAAAGCGAAUUUUGCCCAAUGCCAUUAAUAUAAAACCGAUAAGCGCUUAGCGUAUUUAUUGGUUGAAGUUCUGGUCAAUGGCGGUCUUAUCUAUGAGGAUCCUAAGGUAGCAAAAUUAAUUGUCCAUUAAAUGUGGUCCUGACUGAAUAAAGUAACGAUGGUCUCACUGUCUCUACAAGUAUCUCAGUGAAAUUGAAUUAGCCGUGCAGAUGCGGUUUAACUUCGGGUAGAGGGAAACCAG